GGUGGCUCAGUGGGAGAGUGCUUGCCUUGCAUGCAUGAGGGCCUGGGUUCAAUUCUCAGCACCA
rnacentral:tRNA from 1 species